GGCCACUCUCCUCUGUCCAUAUUGAUGUGUAUAUAGGUAAUGUCACCCACAGAUCAAAAACCUCUAAGUUUACAUUUCUACCGCAGCUUUUCUUUUGAACUCCAGGUAUCUUCUUUAUAAGCUUUAGGGGCGAUCUAGAAUGGCCAAUUGGACCUCAACUUGUACCACCUGCUAAUAUCACUGAAGGGUAUUUAUUUAUGUCCAGGUAUAACAAGAGAUUUUUAAAAAAAAAAAUACAAAGUUCUUAAAAAAAGAUUUAUUUAUUUUAUAACUACACUGUGGAUGUCUUCAGACACAUCAGAAGAGGGUAUCAGAUCUCAUUACAGAUGGUUGUGAGCUACCAUGUGAAUGCUGGGAGUUGAACUCAGGACCUCUGGAAGAGCAGGCAGUGCUCUUAGCCACUGAGCCAUCUCUCCAGCCCAUAGCCAGAGAUUU
rnacentral:lncRNA from 1 species